GGCCCGUUAGCUCAGUUGGCUAGAGCGUCGUGCUAAUAACGCGAAGGUCGUGGGUUCAAUCCCCCCACGGGCCA
rnacentral:tRNA from 1 species